CGGACACACAGGAGCGGCCCUCUCCUUGCAGACUCUGUGCACUGCUCGGCCACGGCUUAGGCAGCAGCUCAUCUCUAUAAAGUUAAGAAAACUGAGGCACGGAGGGAUUAAAUAAUUUAUUCAAGAAUGUAGAUCCUAAGAGAUAUUGAAGAGCUAGAAGGAAUAGCUUGCCUGAUCCAUGCAGACACAAGGCACCAAUGUUUUCAAUUGGUUUGCUCUGUACUGGGCACCUAUUAAAAGCUCAAUAUUUUGGAAGAUGCCAGAGAAGUAAAGACAUGGCCCUUGACUUCAAGGAGAAUCCUAUCUAGUUGGAAAGAAAAGACCUCCUUCGUGAGAACAAUCAACAAAUACAUCAAAACAACAAAUACCCUGACAUCAAAACGUUCUGCCCUCAGGCAUCUCAUCCUACUGAAAUUGCUCAUCAUUUGAGAAGGAAGCAACAAGAUGAAAUGAUCAUUCUCUGGGAUCAGGGAUUUUAUGUUUCUUCUUAUGAAGUCCUGACAUUUGGGUUUCCACCAGGAUCAUGGACAGUGUGAGCAGGUUCCUGUACCAGACCUACAUGAAAGAGUGAAGCAAAUGCUUCUGAGUUUCCUUCCUCUAGGACUAAACUCAUGGUCACAGAAAUACAAGCUAAGAUGUUCCAGUAAAACUAAUUCCCACAAUGGGUCAUCUUACAUUCAGCUAAUUAGGGGUAACUUUUGAGAUCAAUAAGCAUAAUUACAACUUUGUAAAAACACUUCAGUAAAAUCUUAAAUGAUUCCUACCAGAGAGUUCCAUUUUCCCCUGAGUGUAUAGAAGCACUAAUUUGCUUAAGCUGAAACAUCUACUUCAGUCUGGAAGAGUAAAGAAUAGAGAAAAUACCAGAAGUUUCUCUUUAAAGUGGCCAGAUUUACAACUUAAGGUACCCAAGAAAUACAAAGAAUUUAACAUGGUUCCUAAUCAAGGAAAGUAACCAGAUUGGGAUCCAAAAUUGUUUUGGGGGGGGGACAUGUUCAUAUUUUUCUAUAAAAAACUUAUGCUUAGUGGUUGGGUACCAGACUUAUUCCUAAAACCUAUCAAAACUACAUUGACUCUGAAAUGGCACUUUCAAUUUUCUGAAGAUUCAUUCCACCCUCAUCCUAAUCCUUGAAGCCUUGAGAGUUGGGAAAUAGAGACUUGAGGCCCACAGGAUCCUGAGGAAGAUUGUGGGUGAAGGUGAACCCUUCGGGGUUCAGUAGCUCUCAAAUGAGCAUAAGAAGAAUUAUGCGACUUCUGGGAGAUGACCCAGAAGAAAGAACCACCAAGCACAACAGACAGCUGUUUAUAUGUCUGAGUCCCAGGUAUCAGAUUCAUGGUUAAUGACUGAAAAACGUAGCUUUCUUUCUAAUUAAUUUAAAUUCCAUUUGCGUUUCCUAUGAAAGGGACUUUGUUAUUUCUUUUGCUUUCUAUCUCAUUCAGUCAUCAGAAUGUGUAUUGGACAUAUUGGUGCCUAGAAAUACUUGCUUCAUGAAUUGAAUAAGAAGAUUAAGAUAACUGGUAUGUCUCAAAAUGCUGGGUCUCUUUGCAAAGAUAAAUUUGAACACAAGUAGAGAUGAUAGCAAGAGGUUUGUCUAAGAUCUGAGAGGCAGAGCAAGGGUGGGCAAAUGAAUUAUUAAUGAGUAUUCAUACAAGAGUAAAAAGAAUCAAUCCAUAGCAAAAGCUUUAUCACUAAUGAGAUAUGAGGGCUUUGGGCAUAUUACCUAACCUUAAAGUCCUCAUCUAUAAAAUGUGGGUAAAAAUAGGAACUAUCAUACUGGAUUAUUAUGAGGAUUAAAUAGGACAAUGUAUAGAGAGUAAUUAGAGGAGUACCUGGCAAAUAGGAAUCGGAAGAACCUAGAAUGGCUGUCAGGUGCAUCUAUGCAGAUGGUCAGAUCUUUAGGGGACCCAGAAAAACAGAAGUCUCUUAGACAUGAAGGGGCCAUGAGACACCUACAACAUAUACCAGUCUUGCACAUAUUAUUGUGAACUAAUUAAGGACCAGCUAAGAUACCCAUCCCAUUCCAGAAACCACGGCACUAUGUAAGAUAUUGUGAAAUGAUUACCACAAUUAGUUAGCAUCCAUCAUCUCAUAUAGAUGUAAUAAAAAGCAAAAAAAGAAAAUAUUUUCCUUGUGAUAAGAACUCUUAAGAUUUACUCUUUUUACAAAUUUCAUAUGCAUCAUACAGAGUGUUAACUAUAGUAGUUAUGUUGUACAUUACAUUCCUAGUUAUCUGAUAACUAAAGUUUCUACUUUUUGCCCACCUUCCUCCAAUUCCGUCUCCCCUCACCCUAGUAACCACAAGUCUGAGCUCUCUCUUUUUUUAAAGGAUUUUAUUUAUUUAUUUGAGAGAGAGAUUGAGAGUGUGUGUGUGUGAGAAAGCACAAAGAGAAAGCAGGAGUAAGGGGAGCAGCAGGCAGAGGCAGAGGGAGAAGCAGGCUUUCUGCUGAGCAGGGAAUCUGACACAGGGCUCGAUACCAGGACCCUGAGAUCAUGACCUGAGCUGAAGGCAGAUGCUUAAUCGACUGAGCUACCUAACCCUUUGAUCUCUUUUCCUAUGAGGUUGUUUUUUUGUUUUUGUUUUUGUUUUUGUUUUUAAGAUUGCACAUAUAAGUGAGAUCAUUCGGUGUUUGUCUUUCUCUC